CGGCGCACGGGUGCGUAACGCGUAUACAAUCUACCUUUUACAGGGGGAUAGCCUUUAGAAAUGAAGAUUAAUAUCCCAUAGUAAGUUUUUAUGGCAUCAUAGUAACUUUAAAGUUUCGGCGGUAAAAGAUGAGUAUGCGUUCUAUUAGCUAGAUGGUGUGGUAACGGCACACCAUGGCCACGAUAGAUAGGGGCCCUGAGAGGGGGAUCCCCCACACUGGUACUGAGACACGGACCAGACUCCUACGGGAGGCAGCAGUGAGGAAUAUUGGACAAUGGGCGAGAGCCUGAUCCAGCCAUGCCGCGUGCAGGAAGACUGCCCUAUGGGUUGUAAACUGCUUUUAAACGGGAAGAAACCCUCGCUCGUGAGCGAGGCUGACGGUACCGUAAGAAUAAGGAUCGGCUAACUCCGUGCCAGCAGCCGCGGUAAUACGGAGGAUCCAAGCGUUAUCCGGAAUCAUUGGGUUUAAAGGGUCCGUAGGUGGAUAAUUAAGUCAGGGGUGAAAGUCUGCAGCUCAACUGUA
rnacentral:rRNA from 1 species